rnacentral:rRNA from 1 species
CUACGGGGUGCACCAGUGGGGGAUAUUGCACAAUGGAGGAAACUCUGAUGCAGCAACGCCGCGUGAGGGAAGAAGGUUUUCGGAUUGUAAACCUCUGUUUUUAGUAAAGAAACAAAUGACGGUAGCUAAAGAGGAAGCCACGGCUAACUACGUGCCAGCAGCCGCGGUAAUACGUAGGUGGCAAGCGUUGUCCGGAUUUACUGGGUGUAAAGGGUGCGCAGGCGGGACUGCAAGUUGGAUGUGAAAUGCUGAGGCUUAACCUCAGAGCUGCAUCCAAAACUGUGGUUCUUGAGUGGAGUAGAGGUAAGCGGAAUUCCGAGUGUAGCGGUGAAAUGCGUAGAUAUUCGGAGGAACACCAGUGGCGAAGGCGGCUUACUGGGCUCUAACUGACGCUGAGGCACGAAAGCAUGGGUAGCAAACAGGAUUAGAUACCCGGGUAGUC